rnacentral:lncRNA from 1 species
CACAGUCGUCCGAAGGAGAGGACAAGGAUAUCAGAAAACAGGCCUCUGAAGAAGCAGUGUUAGAAAUAAAUACUCCACACAGUGUCCAGCCUUUUAAAUGAGACAGUGAUGUGUUAAUUCAUCUGUCCAUUUUAGCAAAUACAACCUCUAAAGUACAACUGGGGCUCUUGAUUUCAGUCCAUAGAAACCCCUGUUCCUGUGUUAGGUCAAGUUGUGCUCUUAAACAGCUGCAGUCCGAUUAUGAGCAACAAGGGCUCACAGCAGCUCAGCCAGCAGGCAGGUUAAUGCCAAUCAGCACAGACUGGAAGGAGCAAUUUUGCUAGGAGGUCACAGCUGACAGGAAGGAUGAAGAAUUGUGGCCAGAAUAAAAGAUGUCUCCCAUGAUGCUCA